rnacentral:rRNA from 1 species
CCCUUAGAUGUUCUGGGCCGCACGCGCGCUACACUGACGAAUGCAACGAGCUUAUAACCUUGGCCGAAAGGUCUGGGUAAUCUCCAAAUUUCGUCGUGAUGGGGAUAGAUUAUUGCAAUUAUUAAUCUUCAACGAGGAAUGCCUAGUAAGCGCAAGUCAUCAGCUUGCGUUGAUUACGUCCCUGCCCUUUGUACACACCGCCCGUCGCUCCUACCGAUUGAAUGGUCCGGUGAAAUCUCGGGACGGCGGCUUGGUCGCUUGCGUCCGACUGCUGAAACUUGAUUAAACCAUAUCAUUCAGAGGAAGGUGAAGUCGUAACA